rnacentral:rRNA from 1 species
UACGAAGGGGGCAAGCGUUGUUCGGAAUUACUGGGCGUAAAGGGCGCGUAGGCGGUGCUCUAAGUCAGGCGUGAAAGCCCUGGGCUCAACCCGGGAAUUGCGCUUGAUACUGGAGCGCUUGAAUCCAGGAGAGGUUGGUGGAAUUCCCAGUGUAGAGGUGAAAUUCGUAGAGAUUGGGAAGAACACCGGUGGCGAAGGCGGCCAACUGGACUGGUAUUGACGCUGAGGCGCGAAAGCGUGGGGAGCAAACAGG